CUCCUUUUCCCUUUUUUACUAGUACCCUUUUGGUCAUCAAGAGUUCAACUUUCCUGUGAAAAGCAUGAAUUUGAGCUAAAAGAGGUACCCUGAGGAUCAAGGAUCACAUCAGUAAGCACUUUGGGAGUUGAACCUGAGCAGAUGUUUUCGAGGAGCAAGAGGACUUCCAGAAUCAUUUUGAAAAUGAAGAAUUCCAGUUAAAGAAAAAAAAACCACAACAAAGUGAAACACAGCAUAAUGAAAGCCAGAG
rnacentral:lncRNA from 1 species